rnacentral:rRNA from 1 species
GGGGAAUAUUGCACAAUGGGCGCAAGCCUGAUGCAGCCAUGCCGCGUGUAUGAAGAGGGCCUUCGGGUUGUAAAGUACUUUCAGCGGGGAGGAAGGGAGUAAAGUUAAUACCUUUGCUCAUUGACGUUACCCGCAGAAGAAGCACCGGCUAACUCCGUGCCAGCAGCCGCGGUAAUACGGAGGGUGCAAGCGUUAAUCGGAAUUACUGGGCGUAAAGCGCACGCAGGCGGUUUGUUAAGUCAGAUGUGAAAUCCCCGGGCUCAACCUGGGAACUGCAUCUGAUACUGGCAAGCUUGAGUCUCGUAGAGGGGGGUAGAAUUCCAGGUGUAGCGGUGAAAUGCGUAGAGAUCUGGAGGAAUACCGGUGGCGAAGGCGGCCCCCUGGACGAAGACUGACGCUAAGGUGCGAAAGCGUGGGGAGCAAAC